UACGUAUGGGGCGAGCGUUGUCCGGAAUUAUUGGGCGUAAAGGGUACGUAGGCGGUUUCAUAAGUCAGAUGUGAAAGCUUGGGGCUCAACCCCAUAAAGCAUUUGAAACUGUGGAACUUGAGUAGUGGAGAGGAAAGUGGAAUUCCUAGUGUAGCGGUGAAAUGCGUAGAUAUUAGGAGGAAUACCAGUGGCGAAGGCGACCUUCUGGUCUAUUAUUGACGCUGAGGCUCGAAAGCAUGGGUAGCAGACAGGAUUAGAUACCCGUGUAGUCCCU
rnacentral:rRNA from 1 species